rnacentral:rRNA from 1 species
CGGAGGUGGCAAGCGUUACUCGGAAUUAUUGGGUGUAAAGGGCAAGUAGGUGGCUUGGUAAGUGAGAGGUGAAAUACUCCGGCUCAAUCGGAGAACUGCCUUUCAUACUGCCUUGCUUGAGGAUGACAGGGGGUAAUGGAAUUCCCGGUGUAAGGGUGAAAUCUGUAGAUAUCGGGAAGAACACCAGCGGCGAAGGCGAUUACCUGGGUCAUUCCUGACACUAAAUUGCGAAAGCUAGGGGAGCAAACAGAAUUAGAUACUCUGGUAGUCCUAGCCGUAAACGAUGAGCACUAGGUGUUGGUCCCGUCAGGGAUCAGUGCCGCAGCUAACGCAUUAAGUGCUCCACCUGAGGACUACGGUCGCAAGGCUA